AGGGACUGGACUGCGUGACAACUUACUCGUGGCCGAAGAAUACACAUUACCGCGCAUUGUCACCUCAUCGCAGGAACCAAUUGUUUAAUUAGUAGCCCCACUUAAUGAAUCGCAACCGAGGUGAUAAAAGACACGAACACCAUAAUUCGACAGCUCAUUUACAAGGUAACAGUUCUGCCUUAGAGCCCGGGUGAGUCCUAUACCCCGACACGUAUAGGCAGACUUCAAUUAUUAAAUUAAUUAGUCAUCUUUUCCCUAAUUAUUCAUUUCGAUUUCCUUAACGGUAUUUCUGAGUUCUGUGAUAGCGAUUCUUCGAGCCACGAUUCGUUUUGACGAUAAUCGAGAUUCCCACAGUUCCAGUGACCUGGUCCCACUCUCAAAUUAUUAUUUUCUUCUUCUGUAAAUUUAUAAUCGGCGAACUUUGUUUGCCGGAGUCGUUACUCCGGUUACGAACUCAUAUUAACUUUCAACCUUUGUUUUUAUAUUGUUAUUAGUUAAUAAGUGAAUAGUGUAAGUUAAGACGUGUUUGCCCAUAGGGCCAGUUAAACAGAAUAUAUAAACUAAAAACCCGAAUCGAAGUGUAUCAUCAUUCUUAAGUUAAGAACCUUCAAACUUCAAUCUCCAGUCAGCAGAAGGAAGCGAGAAGCCAAGCAGCGGAACUCAAAGGUACAACGUCCAAUCAAAGGCCGAAUCAUCGUUGGAAUUAGGAUUCGCAAUAUCCAAGUUAUUGCG